rnacentral:rRNA from 1 species
UACGUAGGGGGCAAGCGUUGUCCGGAUUUAUUGGGCGUAAAGAGCGUGUAGGCGGCUUUACAGGUCCGUUGUGAAAACCUCGAGGCUCAACCUCGAGACGCCGGUGGAAACCGUAAAGCUAGAGUCCGGAAGAGGAGAGUGGAAUUCCUGGUGUAGCGGUGAAAUGCGCAGAUAUCAGGAGGAACACCAAUAGCGAAGGCAGCUCGCUGGGACGGUAUUGACGCUGAGGCGCGAAAGCGUGGGGAGCAAACAGG